AAACGGCGCAAGCCUACACGAAGACACAACUCCAGGUGCUCCUUCAGCCUGCUCUCGCCCUGGUUUUUUUUUCUGUUCUCGCUCUGUCUUCUCGAGCAUAUCUUGGGAUCCUGUCAUUAAGAUUUUCUUCGCUUUUCUGUUUUUGUGUUUUGUCUUGUGUCGCCGCUGCUGCUGUUCUUGCUCUCUUUCCGUUCACCAGCUCGAGAAGAACACCACUACAGGGCACAUUGUUUACGGAGUCUUGGUGCCCGUACCCAUAACCCGAUAACGCGCCUCUCUCCCCCUCUUUGUUCUCUCCCUUUCUUUUAAAAGCCGCGAGAGACAAGGCAGCACGACGACUAGCCGAGCAGCCUUUCGCUCUUCUCUCUCUGAGGCCUAAGGUAUCCUUGUUCUCUGUUUUGGUCAGCCUCCUCCUGUGAGGCAUCACGUCGUCGACCAGCGUCCCUCACACCUCGCCAAACGGAUUCGGUUAGGGCGUUGCUGCCCAGUUGUCGUUGCACCGGUUGCGCCUUGGCCCUGGCAAAGCCCCUCCCCACCACCACCACCACCACCACCACAACCUCUGCGCUCUCACUCAUCUUGCGGUUUCGCUCCACUUCUACUCGCAUCCCCUGCUUCGCCGACGUCGCCAUGUCUCGCUGUGGUACGUGCAACGUGGUGCUAGAGAACGGCGAGGUACUGCGUGCCCACUACGGGUCUGAAUUCCACCUCACCAAUGUGCGUCGCCGCGUCGACGGCUUGCGCCCGCUGUCGCAGCAGGAUCACCGCUUCUCCAGGAAUGAGAUGGAGGGGGCCGUGCUGGGCGAGAAGGGCACGCCCGUCUACUCGUGCACGCUGUGCAAAAAGACGUUUCACUCUGUCCAGACGCUGCAGACACACAUCCGCUCAACAGCGCAUCUGAUGCGAAAGGAGAAGCGCAUCAUCGCGCGUGACUCGGAGACGGCAAGUAUGCUGACGUCGACGUCGCUCGGUAGCGCGGCGAUGGGUCUGCAUCGUCGCCACAACGCCAAGAAGAGCGCCGCUGCGCGUGGUGACGCGAAGCCAAAGACCGCUCCGAAGGUGGACGCUGAGGAGCGGGAGGAGGACGCAAGCGAGCUGCGCUGCAUGUUCUGCGGCUUUCUCUCGGCGGAUGUCGGGUCAAACGUGCACCAUUUGGAGUGCGUGCACAGUUUCACGAUACCGCUGACGGCCCACUGCACGAACCAGGCAGCGCUGCUCGCGUAUCUAGCUCGAAAAAUCAACGGUCUUAUGUGCAUCGUGUGCAAUGAGCGCACCCGAUCCUUCUCUUCGCUGGAAGCUCUGCGCGACCACAUGCGCGAAACGAACCACGAGCGCCUUAUUCUCAGCCCUGAAUACCAGGAGUUCUACGACGUUGUGCUCGAGGACCCGGAGGCGGCGAGGCCGGUGCAGCUCGAGGGUGUCCGCGGCGACGAACUUGUCCUGGCGCACGACAAGGCGCUCGGGAAGAGGCGCGUGGUGCUAAAGCGCGAAAAUGAUGUGCCACGCGCCCGCCCACGCGAGACGGAGGAGCACAAUGAGAAGCGCAUGGCGAUUCUGGCCGAGGAGCAGGAGACGCGCGCCCUGGCGAGGCAGGAGCAGAAGGAGCUCAUCAUGGCACAGAACAAGGAGGCGGCGUGGGUGGCAAAGCGCAGCGGCGGUGACCGUCAUAACCUUCAGCUGGACGUUAGCAUGCGCACGAAUAGGCUCCAUCCGAAAGGGUACGAUGGCAACAUGAUGUUCAGUUAAGCGCUGAAGUGUGCCCUUGCAGGUGUAGUCGUUGCCUUUGUGGUUGUGCUGGUCGCGGCAGCGGUAGCUGCCAUGCCAUUGCCGUGCAUCACGACAAAAUCGCCAUUCUUUUCCGCUGCCUUUCUGUGCUGCUGAAUGUCAUGGGCCAUUCAAAGGAACCCUUCUUGAUUUGUGUUCUGCAUCUGCGGCAGACGCCAAUGAUCUCCCUGCGGCGUUUUUUUUUUGCGUAUGUCUGCGCGUGUGCGCCAGCAGCUGGUUGCAUGGAGCAGGUCCCUGGUACACAGUGAAUAAGCCCCCCCCGCCGCCUGCCUGCCUGCCCUCCUUCUUUCAACAGCCUUACACGGUAGUGGUUGUCGUCAUCUUCGGUCUUUCACACCAGCUUCCCUUUCUUUCGCGUUUGUCCAUUUUCGUUUUAGUUGUUGUUCUGAAGGAUGGUUCCCCUGUCCUGUGUUAUGUUCGACCUUUCCGUCGUCGUUUAUCGGGUCUU
rnacentral:misc_RNA from 1 species